GAAAUCACCCUCUCUCCGGUGCUCUAGUGAGGUUACUUAGUCGAGACCGCUAAGUGAAAUUGAGCUGCAAGUGGCCACCAAUACAAACAAAGGAAUUCCUUUCAAUUCUUUUUUUCUUUGUAGUUCACUUGUUUUCUUUCGAGGGGGAUUUGGUGUCCGAACGUCAUCCGAAACCUUGGAGGUUCGGGGCUUCCCUCCCAUCUCUUCCUAGCUCUUGACCUUCCGCUAUUGUGGAUGGUGCGUGGGUAGCAUCCUUCUAGUCUUUCCCUUUCUUGGGUGCUUCGCCUCGAGUUAACCAGGCCCGAUGGCGGUUACGCGAAAGCCCAGAAACGCUUGCCCAAGAUCCUCCGGCUCUGACAGAA
rnacentral:misc_RNA from 1 species